CAACCCUCAAGCUUUUGGCUUGGUAUUGGGCUGUCGUCCGCCUAAGGACGUGCCUGAAACUCAUAGGCGGUUGUGCUCAGCUCCUUAGCGUAGUCAUUUAUAAUUUCGCUCUGGAGGACUUGGGUGCGACCCGCCUAAGAACCCCCCUUAUAACUUAAAG
rnacentral:misc_RNA from 2 species